rnacentral:miRNA from 1 species
AAUGCAGACUCCAAGGCUGCAACCCAGAACUAUUGGAUAAGCCCCAGUGGGGUCCAGGAAUCUGCAUUCUCUACAAGCUGAUCCAGGUGCUCCAUGAAGACAGAGAAC